AGAAGACUGUGAUGUAUCUAAUACCCCCCUCCUUUUAUUCUCAUUUUCUUUAAGUAAACAAGGCCUACUCUAAUGAAUCAUUCUCAUUCCCUUUUGAAUAAACAAUCAAGUGUUGGUGCUGAUCAUGCAAGAGUCAUGAAAUAAUCAACAUAUAGUCUGCUAAUUAAUCGAGGGUGUCGGAGGUUUGAUCAACUUACUGUUAAGAGUGCGUGGAAAGAUUUGUGUUUUGGGCAUCCCAGAGUAUCUUGAUUGAGUUUUAACUGACUUGGGGAAAUAUUCCUCGCCUUUUCUUUUGUGCUUGGUUGGUUGUGCAGGAUGGACUGAGGACAAGGUAUUGGUUGUGUUAGAAUGGUAGAUGAAACUUGAGUGAGUAUUAUUAUAUUUGGGGAGUCUAAGCCUACGGAUCAUUUAUUCUUUGAGUGUGCUUUUGGACGUCAGGUGUGAGAUGCAAUUAUGAGUUCAACGGACUCUUCUAGUGGAAAGGGUUAUUGGACGAGGUUGAGUUGCAAUAGGCUUGUGUGGUUGGGUUUGGAUGUGAGAUGCACGCUCGAGCUCUAUGAAGCCUCCAAAAAAGGAAGGGUUUGCGGCGCUAAAAGAUGAGGAGUUUUAUCUCAAUUUUUGUACAUGAACUUAAAUAAUUUUAUCAACAUAUUAUGUUUUAUUUAUGUACACUUAUGAAAGUUGAUGAAAUUGAUACAUUCAUGAAAGCUCAAACUUUAAAUUGAUACACUUAUAAAA